UAAUUUACAUUACCUGCAAACAAAUGCCAGAACAGCCCAACUUCCAACACGCACAAGGUAAAGGAAUGCACAAUAGUUAAGAGUAUUCAAAUGGGCUUCACGCCCUCUACCCAAACUCAAAACGAGCAAGCAGAGCAACUAAAGAUUAAGUUUAUAAUCCGGGGAAGAGGAAAGUAGAGAGAUAAGUGAGGAAUUCCUACAAUGCGGAUAGCAGCGAUACCUCGACGUGGCGGUUUUG
rnacentral:lncRNA from 1 species